rnacentral:rRNA from 1 species
CUGCUGGAUGGUUGACACCACGUUCUGAACCCAUGCAACAAGCCACCUCGAGCUUCUCGGUCCAAUCCCCGAUUUCGACCAUUAGGUGAAUUUUUGUCCCGCGAUCAAUCCCAAAUAUUUUUUUCUACACCCUUUCUGAUGCUCAGAACAAUUUUAAUAAACUCCACUUGAUCUCUGAAGUUGAGGGAAAAUAUGUCCUGAGCCUCCGGCUUCCUCGAAAAAUUUCAUAACACCGAAAUUAGGGUUUUUGUCCAAUUUCGGGUUUUUCCCUCGUGCUUCAAUCCCGUCGUGCUUGCUUCCCGUCGUGCUUACUUCCCGUCGUGCUUAAUUCCCAUCAUGUUUCCAAUGUCUUCGAAAUAAUAUUCCGCUGAUACGAAGUUUUGCGGAAAACUUCAUGCUGAAGAAACGUCAUUCUUCCAAAAUGUCGAGGUUUUAAACCGUCGUGCUUCCAAAAAUGUUAUGCUUCGAAAACGUCCAUCCCAUCAAUCUAAGACAUCUUCUAACUAUGGUCGAGCAACUUAUUCGACUCAUAGUUAACUCACGAUCACUUCUUCGCCCACUUCGUACUUCAAAACUUCUCGAUCGCCCGCGACUCGACCACCACAAAGGUACUCGACCAUUAUCUCUCCUUUUUUUUUUUUUAUUAACGGGUUUCUACAGUCGGGGGCAUUCGUAUUUCAUAGUCAGAGUUGAAAUUCUUGGAUUUAUGAAAGACGAACAACUGCGAAAGCAUUUGCCAAGGAUGUUUUCAUUAAUCAAGAACGAAAGUUGGGGGCUCGAAGACGAUCAGAUACUGUCCUAGUCUCAACCAUAAACGAUGCCGACCAGGGAUCAGCGGAUGUUGCUUUUAGGACUCCGCUGGCCCCUUAUGAGAAAUCAAAGUUUUUGGGUUCCGGGGGGAGUAUGGUCGCAAGGCUGAAACUUAAAGGAAUUGACGGAAGGGCACCACCAGGAGUGAAGCCUGCGGCUUAAUUUGCCUCAACACGGGGAAACUUACCAGGUCCAAACAUAGUAAGGAUUGACAUACUGAGAGGUCUUUCUUGAUUCUAUGGGUGGUGGUGCAUGGCCGUUCUUAGUUGGUGGAGCGAUUUGUCUGGUUAAUUCCGUUAACGAACGAGACCUCAGCCUGCUAACUUGCUACGUGGAGGCAUCCCUUCACGGUCGGCUUCUUAGAGGGACUAUGGCCAUUUAGGCCAAGGAAGUUUGAGGCAAUAACAGGUCUGUGAUGCCCUUAGAUGUUCUGGGCCGCACGUGUACUACACUGAUGUAAUCAUCGAGUUCACACCUUGACCGACAGGCCCGGGUAAUCUUUGAAACUUCAUCGUGAUGGGGAUAGAUCAUUGCAAUUGUUGGUCUUCAACGAGGAAUAACUAUGUCCCUGCCCUUUGUACACACCGCCUGUCGCUCCUACCAAUUGAAUGAUCCGGUGAAAUGUUCGGAUCGCGGCGACGUGGGUGGUGUAACACCCUGAUCCGGCCGACAAGGCCGUGGUCGAAACCUUACAUCGCAUGGUACACUUCCUGGCCGAACCUCUUAA